CCACUGACCUUGCUGUGUGUGUUAGAUAGCCUCUUACUGGAAGGCAGGAUUCAAGGAGAAUUUGAAGGUGUAAUUACCCUUCAAUGGGAUUUUUAAACUAGUAUAGUCUGAUUGGAUGGAUCCAGAGGACAGAGCUAGUUCUUGUGUUUCUUUUUCCAAGAUGAAACAAAUUCUCUAAUUCAGACCUCAGGGAAUAUAGCUACAAUGAUGCAGAGACCACAAAUAUUGAUCAUCUCAUUAGGUGUGAAUAUGUGUUUGGAGAGUUGUAAAAAAAUUGGUUGGAUCUGAUCCUCAGAAACAUCACCGAGAUGCAGAUCUCAGCAGAACAACCUAGUCGUAAACUGACUAUCAGAACCAAGCCGGACCAUGCAGACCAGCUGCUGGACCAGCUGCUGGACAGAGUGUUUCUCCGGGGGAAUGCAGGACUAGCAUCUGGAGGAGAAUCCCCAGAGGACGUUGAAUCACAAAGUGGAGGAGAAUUCGUGAAGGAAGUUGAAUUAGAACCUCAGAAGAACCUUAGAGAAGAAUCUGGAUCAUACCCAGAAGCUUCAACAUCCACUUCUCAUCCUCAAAGAGCUGUGAAUCCUCUUCAUAACAGACUGCAGCAGUGGUUCCAGGUGACUGCUCCUGGUCAACAUGAGAAAAAAAGAGAUUUCAAAACUGCAUCCCAUCAAACAUCUUCUGUGGAUCAAACCAACAACACGUACUCGCAGCAGUCCCAUGAAUCCCAGCAUGCCUCUUCCUCACCUAAGGGUCCUUCAUCCACUGCAUCCUCAGAGGAAUACAAGAAGUACGAUGAGACAGAAGAUUAGAAACACAAACACUUAUCAGAUUCUGAAUGAAUCUGUUAAAUAAAACAGCAGAGCAUAUAACAAUCAUGUUGGUGACCUCACUAACACGCAACACAGCAUUAGAGGAAGAAUUCUUGUUCUUUACUUAAGUUAAAGGAGUUACACCAAAAUCUAUAAAUAUCAGUUGUCUUUCUUUUAAAAUGAUCAUUUAGAAAACUAAUUUGGAAUCAUGUACAGCAGUAUUAAAGGUGCCAAGUACAGAAAAGUGAGCAUGGUAUACAGUUAUACAUGGUAAUAUAUGAUACCAACUUUUGGGAUAAAUAAAGUUGGUAAAUUUCUGUGUUACAGCAGCCAAAACAUUAAGCGUAACCUAGCACAGUAAAUAAUAAUCUAAAUAGAAUACAAUAAAAACUAAAGUGUGACUAAAAUACAUUAAUGCAUUUGAAAUACAAUAAUGAUGAGAUUAUUAUCACUUGUAAAUCGAUGCAUGUGAAAGUAUCUGAAGCAUGAAUGUUGCUGAGGUCCUGGGUUUCGGACGACUGGGUUUUCUUGUUCUGUCUUUUCCCCAUGUUAAGUUUCCUUUUACAUCUGUGGUUCUGUGUUUAGUUUUCGUUGCUUACUUCCUGUUUUACUUUAUUAGUCAGUCGUCUUGUGUUCAGUUGCGAUUGUCUUGAUUGUGUGCACCUGUGUCUCAGUUCUUCCCUGCUAUGUCUAAUCCCCAGGAGCCAUCAGAGUGUGAGUCCUGUCAUUCCUGUGCUCAGUGUUUAAGUAUCUGUUAUCAUCGUUUUGUCCUUGCUGACAUUUAUGGAAUUCUGUGGAUUUAUUUUGCCAUUUCAGUUCAUGGAUUUUGUAACUCUGGGCCCUGAACUACAAAGCAAGUUCAACAUACCAAGGGUAUAUCUCCAUUAUCUGUAUCCACUGGCCUUAACACUGGCGAACGGUAUAAGCAGUCACAUGAAACUAUUAUCAGCUUGCCGAGGCAACCCAGGGUUUUCCCUGCAUAUUCACAUGAAAGUGUUGCAGUGUCUGAUAAUUUAAAAGGGGCAUUUUCGAGAACAGAUGACUUCUCCUACACAGAAACUGAUUCCUGAGUCGCAACUACUCCAGAGACAUUAUCAGAUGAUGAUAAAAUGGUGAAUAAAAAGCUCUAAAGAACAUAAAAGAUAUAAUGGUACAACGUAACACUGUUGCAAAAAGGAUUUGAUGAAUGUAAGGAGCUUGUAAAGAAAAGCGACUGAAGGAGCUUCACGGAUGAGAACCGAAACCUCUCAAGAAACUUCCAGUUGCUUUUCGUUCCAAGCUCCUUAGAUUACUACUGGAUGACUGAGAACCUCCACAGGCAAUGUGAUGAAUGCUGCAGAAAAUCAUUAAUCUGGUGAUUUAGCACACAAAGUGAUAACAAUUUAAAUUCAACUUAAUUAGCCACUAUGCUCUCUAUGCUAUUUAUGUCACAUGCUAAGGUGGCAGAUCCAUUUAAACAUUGAAGCUUAAAUAAUACUGCCCCACAGUUUAAUAAAGGAGACACAGAAAUCAUUUUAGUUUGUCAGCAUAGCCACCUUCUGACAGUUUUAGUUUUUAUUCUCCCAGCUGCAGACUCAGAGAUGUUUAAGGGUUUGGAAGAUUAAAUAUAACAAACAGAUUUCAAACAAGGCUUGAUGUAAGAUGAGCAAGUACAACAUAGGUGUCAUAUUUUAAGAUACCUAAUACUAACAUAAUACUACUAUUUUUAAAUUGUUUGCUCCAAAUAAAUAGAAAAAAAGUCAAAUAAUAAAGCUCCCUUAGCAGCAACAACUGCAAUCAAGCGUUUGCGUUAACUGGCAGUGAGUGUUUUACAGAGCUGUGGAGGAAUUUUGGCCUGCUCGUCUUUGCAGAAUUGUUGUAAUUCAGCCACACUGGAGGGUUCACGAGCAUGAACUGACAUUUUAAGGUCAUGCCACUGCAUCUCAAGCAGAUUCAGGUCAGGACUUUGACCACCCCACUCCAAAGUCUUAUUUUGUUCUUCUUGAGCCAUUCAAAGGUGGUCUUGCUGGAGAGUUUUGGAUGAUUGACCUACUGCAGAUUGUCCUACUUCAGCUUGAGGUCAAAACAGACGGCUGGACAUUGUCCUUCAGGAUGUUUUGGUAGACAGCAGAAUUCAUGGUUCCAUUUACCACAGCAAGUUUCGCAGGUCCUGGGGCAGCAAAACAGCACAAACCAUUACAAUACCACCACCAUAUUUUACUCUUGGCUUGAUGUUCCUUUUCUGAAAUGCUGUGUUAGUUUUAUGUCACAUGUAAUAGAACACACAUCUUCCAAAAAGUGUUGCUGUUUGAGAUGUUUUAGCCUGCUUCGAUUUUUCAGACAGGUUAUAUUUAAGUGAUUUCUUCAUUUAAUGGGCAUAACUAGGUCCAUGAUUAGGUCCCACAGGGGCCAAGGCUCAGCAAGCCCCAGAACCAGCCAUGCACACACAAACAGGUUAUUGAGACUAUUCGCUCAGUCACUCACUCUCAUGCUUUCACACAUACACACUCAGCCAUUCAUGGUAGUUCUUUGGUUUGUCUCUUUUAUUUAAAUUUAGUGACUUAUACAGCUUUCACUUUUAUGUUUUGUUUUUCUUUUUUUUUUAUAUUUACCGUAAUUUGAUUUGCAGUGUGCCACUGAAGAAACCUAUUUAAAAACUCUCCGCUGCUUGAUUUCCUCUGACCAUGUGGUGGCAGCAAAACUCAAUAUCUGACUUACUACUAAUACUCAUUGUCAGUGAAACAUAUGUACAGCUUGUUUAGUGGAACUAAUCUACAUGUAUACAGACUCUAUCUGGAAUUUUCGUUAACCAAAGGAAAGGAAUUUAGCCAAACAGGUCAAUAUGAUAAACAACACGCAGCUAUAAACUUCCAAGUGAAAGCAGAAAAACAUUCAACAUGUUUCAUUUUGUCUCCCAGAAAUGUUUGAUGAUUACUUUAUGGUUUACAAAAUGUCUCACAUAGGAUGAUUUCAAAGUAUAAAGUUAGGAUCACUGGGCAGUAACUGUUAUUUGACACUUGGAUUUGAUUUUUAUAAAAGGAAAGAAAUUAAAGUUAGCUUUAUUGUCAGCUCCAAUAUGAAGAAAAUUGUAGAAACAUAGAAAUAAAAAAUACAAAAACCAAAAUACACAAAGUCAAAUAAGAAACUUAAG
ensembl:lncRNA